rnacentral:rRNA from 1 species
GACGAACGCUGGCGGCGCGCCUAACACAUGCAAGUCGAACGAAGUUAAGUUAGCUGAAGUUUUCGGAUGGAAGCAGACUUAGCUUAGUGGCGAACGGGUGAGUAACACGUGAGCAACCUGCCCUUCAGUGGGGGACAACAGUUGGAAACGACUGCUAAUACCGCAUAAGACCACAGUACCGCAUGGUAUCGUGAUCAAAGGAUUUAUUCGCUGAAGGAUGGACUCGCGCCUGAUUAGCUAGAUGGUGAGGUAAUGGCUCACCAUGGCAACGAUCAGUAGCCGGACUGAGAGGUCGAUCGGCCACAUUGGGACUGAGACACGGCCCAGACUCCUACGGGAGGCAGCAGUGGGGAAUAUUGCACAAUGGAGGAAACUCUGAUGCAGCGACGCCGCGUGAGGGAAGAAGGUUUUCGGAUUGUAAACCUCUGUCUUCGAGGACGAAAAAAAUGACGGUACUCGAGGAGGAAGCCACGGCUAACUACGUG